rnacentral:rRNA from 1 species
AUUGAACGCUGGCGGCAUGCCUUACACAUGCAAGUCGAACGGUAACAGGUCUUCGGAUGCUGACGAGUGGCGAACGGGUGAGUAAUACAUCGGAACGUGCCUAGUAGUGGGGGAUAACUACUCGAAAGAGUGGCUAAUACCGCAUGAGAUCUACGGAUGAAAGCAGGGGAACGCAAGACCUUGUGCUACUAGAGCGGCCGAUGGCAGAUUAGGUAGUUGGUGGGAUAAAAGCUUACCAAGCCGACGAUCUGUAGCUGGUCUGAGAGGACGAUCAGCCACACUGGGACUGAGAAACGGCCCAGACUCCUACGGGAGGCAGCAGUGGGGAAUUUUGGACAAUGGGCGCAAGCCUGAUCCAGCAAUGCCGCGUGCAGGAUGAAGGCCUUCGGGUUGUAAACUGCUUUUGUACGGAACGAAAAGCCCCGGGUUAAUACCCUGGGGUCAUGACGGUACCGUAAGAAUAAGCACCGGUUAACUACGAGCCAGCCGCCGCUGUAA